rnacentral:rRNA from 1 species
GACGAACGCUGGCGGCGUGCUUAACACAUGCAAGUCGAACGGUAAGGCCCCUUCGGGGGUCCACGAGUGGCGCACGGGUGAGUAACACGUGAGCAACCUGCCCUUGACUUUGGGAUACCAGCUGGAAACAGCUGCUAAUACCGGAUAUGACCUCUUCUCUCAUGGGUUGAGGUGGAAAGCUCCGGCGGUCAGGGAUGGGCUCGCGGCCUAUCAGCUUGUUGGUGAGGUAAUGGCUCACCAAGGCUUCGACGGGUAGCCGGCCUGAGAGGGCGACCGGCCACACUGGGACUGAGAUACGGCCCAGACUCCUACGGGAGGCAGCAGUGGGGAAUAUUGCACAAUGGGCGCAAGCCUGAUGCAGCAACGCCGCGUGCGGGAUGACGGCCUUCGGGUUGUAAACCGCUUUCAGUAGGGACGAAGCUAACGUGACGGUACCUACAGAAGAAGGACCGGCUAACUACGUG